AAUAAAUAAAUAAGCUAUGUACAAUAUUUAAAACUUUGUCUCUCAAAAACAUAUUGAAAGGAGGGGUGGGGAAUCAGCCUCAAACAAAAAAAGGCCAGAGGGCACAUGACUGAUCUCUCUGGGGGAGGGUAUUCCAGACAGAGAGGUAGGUGGAGCGAGCAAACGGGUGGGUGGCCUGAAAGCUCCCUCUCUGCAAUCCGCGGCAGAUCGCAGAAUGGGAGAGCUACUCCCCCACCCUAACAAGGGGCCCUUCAGGGGCCUCUGUGAGCCACGGGGCCCUCGGCCAGGGCCCAACCUGGCCGCCCUUUGGCGCCCGCCUUUGCCGCAGCCAGUUGCCUUUCAGGAGCCUCUGCAUUGGCUGAAUGCCAGCUCAGCCGGGAGCUAUGCACAGGGACUGCUGACACCUCAUUGCAGAUCUCCUGAUGGCCGCUUCCAAGGGUUUCAUGUAGAUGUUAGACAGCAUGGGGGACAAGAUGGUUGUGUUCAGUACUCAUAUUGAUUUUUAAUUGUAUUUAUGUUGCUUUUUUAUUGUAUUACAGCCUGAACUCUGGAGUAUAAUUAAGACGGAAUGCAAAUAAAAUACAAUAUCUAAGAAGUAAAAGAAGCAAUAAAAAUACAACUAGAUAUCGCACAUGACAAUGGACAGAAAAAUCAUUUAAGUGGUCCGUCAAGACCAUCAGCAAUUUUCAAGUGGUCUGCGGGGGGGGAUUAAUUGGGGAACAGCCAGGUACCCCUGGGAGCUCUGAAACUGGGUAGGAGAGAGGUGGUAGGCUUCCCUUGUUGUUUUUGGAAUCUGGUAUUGAGGGAUAUCCUGCUCCUGUAUGUGGAAGCUCCACUGAGCCAACACUAGACUUUCUGUAAUGAGUUUGUAUCCAGGAUGGGGAAUUAUGGCCCUCUAGAUGUUGGUGGACUACAGCUCCCAUUAUCCUAGACCGUUGGCCCCACUGGCUGGGGCUGAUGGGAUUUGGAGUCCAGCAGCAUUUGGAGGGCUGUGGGUUUAUAAGAACACAGGAGCUGCCCAAGGGACCGUGUAGUCCAGUAUUAUCAAAAGGUCAUCCAGAUUCGUCUGAAAAGUACAUGAAGAGGGCAAGGACAACCUUUCCCUCUUUGUCCUUGUGAUCUGGUAUUCCGAGGUAGAUUGUCUGAAGAUGUAGGUUCCAUUUAGCUGAUAGCCACUAAUGUUAUUUUUGUUGUAAUAUUUUAAGAUGUGUUAAUAGAAUACACUUAGCUUAAAGUGUUUAGAUUUUUCUUUUGUUAAAAAAUGGAAAGUGCUAAAGACUUGCUUUUUUAAAUUUUAGAUUUGUCUAGUACUGUAUCCAUUCCAGCUGACCAUUUUGGGAUUGUGUCCAUUAUAUGUGUUUAUUUUUAAGACAAUUUCUAAAACUGGAAGGUUUUCUGCAGAAAAAGCGUGACAGUGGAAAUGUUCCAUUUUCCAUCUCUGAGGUGGAUUAGGAUAGGGUAAGGCUAUCAUGGUUAUAAACAGGACUGUAGUUGUCUGGGGUCCCGGGGGGGUGUCUUAGACCCCUUGCUUUUUUGGGAGCAAGUCUCCAGUGUCCUAUGAGCCAAUCAACAUGAAAGGGAAGUAUGUUAGCCACUGAGAAGAAUUUCUAACAUGCGUCCUUGUCCUUUCCUGCUGAUUAGAGCCCUGAAAGUGAAAGGAGGCGAGUCAGCCACUGAGAAGAUUCUUCUCAGCAGCCAACAGACUCCCCUUACAUGCUGAUUGGGAUGUCUGUUGUUGUGGCAGAAGCCAUGUGUGAGAAGGACUGAGGAGUGUGGAGAUGAUUACGGAAAACAAGCAAGCAAGUGAGGGCGUGUGGCAUGACUAUCAUGAAGGGACCCUGCACUUCUGAAUUUGCCACUACACUAGUGGUAAUAAGGUCCUUGGGGAAUGGGUGAACCCCAUUUCUUCCACUGAUUUAAGAACUUCUGUCUCUAGUAGUGAUGGAACUUUGCACGUUGUACAGGUUGGAAGAGAGUGACCUUGCGGAAAGAAUAAUAGUUUUCGCUCUGACGAAGCAGUCUGUUCAUCUCACACUCGAUUCUCUGAACGUCUUCGAACGUGAAGUAAGGGAGCUUUCCAAAGAACCCGUGGCAGAUAAAUGUUUUGGUUUGACUGUUUGUUAGGCGGAUGCAUGGUGGUUAAGGCCCCCUUUGUACCAGACAUUGAAAGCACUAUUGUACCACUUUAAACAGUCAUGACUUCCCCCAAAGAAUCCAGGAACUGUAGUUUGUGAAAGGUGCUGAGAGUUAAGAGAUCCCUAUUCCCCUGUACAGAGCUACAGUUCCCAGAGUUCCCUGCGAAGAGGGAUUGAUUGUUAAACCACUCUUUGUGUGGCUCCGUGAGGGGAAUAGGGGUCUCCUAACGACGCUCAGCACCCUUCACAAACUACAGUUCCCAGGAUUCUUUGAGGGAAGCCAUGACUGUUUAAAGGGCUCCUACUGGGAGGAAGGGUGGGAUAUAAAUCUAACAAAUAAAUAAAUAAAGUGGUACGAUACUCUGAUCCUAGAGGUGGCUGAUCCACUCUGGCCUCUAUAUCUCAGAGAGACAUCUCUCUCCCCCCCUCUCCCUCUCCCCCUCUGUCUCCUCCCUCGUCCCUCUCCCCCCUCUGCCCUUCCCAGGAAGCUGAGAACAACCCUCAGUGCCGCGUCUUCAGAUGAAAGAUCUCAUAAUCUCAGAGAUGCAGCGUCUGACAAAGUACCCUUUGCUGCUGGAGAACAUCAUCAAGCACACCGAUGGUCUGUUAUGUUGUUCUUGUUAUUAAUUAGAUUUAGAUUUAUUAUAUUACAUGUACAUGUGUGUCCCAGGAGAGCUCUGUCUCUAUUAUUUAAGGGUCAUGUUUGGUGGUGCCUCCCCUCCAGCCCUGGAUGUGGAAUGCUCUCCCCAGGGAGGCACGCCCGGCGCCUUCUCUAUCCAUCUUCAGGUGCCAGACAAAGACCUUCCUUUUCUCUCCGGCCUUUGGCCCUUGAUAAGUGUUUUUAGCCCUUUUUGCUUGGGUUUUUAAUACUGUGUGUUUUAAAAUCUGUUCUAUGAGUUGUAAUUCACCUAGAGACUGUUGGUGUGAGGCGACUAACUAAUGAAAACCAUCAUCAUCAUCUGUUAGUGAAUUAUAUAAACUUUCUGCUGUUGUGAGCCACUUUUGAGCAUGGCUUACUAUACAGAGUCAGCACACAAAUAUUUAUAUGUAUACACCCACACAUCUAUCUCUUCCCCCCACCCCCCCGGCAUUAGCACACUGUGUGCCUUUGUUUGUGUCAUCCAGAAACCAAUGUCUGUAUUAACAAAUAAGGAUUAUUUUGGCUUACAUAUUGCUGCUGUUGCUGCUCAUCUGUCUUCCAGACGCCAUUUUUUAAAAAGAAAUUUUCCUUCCUAUUUUGUGUUGGGGUCUGCUCUGGUGCCACACCUGUGUUUCAAAAGCAGCCUGCAAGAUGCUUGUAAAUAAAAAUAAACUUUGCCAGCAGCUGCCAAGCCCCCCACCAUCCCCCUCACUGCGCUGUUGCUUAGGGGAGACCUUGGAGCACAAGAAGCUGUGUUGGGCCCGGGACCAGUGUUGUGAGAUCCUCCGAUACGUGAACAAGGCGGUAAAGCUGGCGGAAAACCAGCAGCGCCUGGAUGCCACCUCUCUGGAGCGGACCAGCAACCCGCUGGCAGCGGAGUUCAAGAACCUUGACCUCCGAAGCCGGCGCAUGAUCCACGAGGGGCCCGAGUUGGCGCAUCAGCAAUGAUAAGACUGUGGACCUGCACGUGCUGCUACUUGAAGAUCUCCUGGUGCUUCUGCAACAGCAGGAUGAAAAGGUGGUUCUGAAGUGCCACAGCAAGAUGGCGCUGGGUUCCUCGGACACCAAGCAGACAUUCAGCCCUGUCCUCAAGCUCAACGCGGUCCUCAUCUGCUCCGUAGCCACAGGGAGAAGGCAUUUACAAGGAUCUCAUCUCAACCCAGCAGCAAAAGGGAGGGGGGAUGGCUGUGACUAUGAUGAAGAGACCCUGCACUUCUGAAUUUGCCACUAUGCUACUGCUCUGAACAUACUACUUGCUUGCGAUCACAAGUCGGAGGAGAGAGCUGCUGUUGCAGUCAGGUGAGGUCCUGCCUUUGAGCUCCCCAUGGACGCAUCCGGCUGGCUGCUGUGAGGACAGGAUGCUGGACUAGAUGGGCCUGAUCCAGCAGCCAGGCUCUCUCCAUGCCUGCAGACAGUCGAAUUGAGUUGAACCGGGAAGGCGGUGGGGCGGGCUUGCUCUGCCGGUCCCUGCUCUUUCCCUCCAGGGAGCAGCAGAGGGAGCUGGCCUGUGCCCUCACGCAAGAUGGCGGCAACUGCGUCGCUCCUUCCGCUUACCCGGGAUGGGCGUUGAGGGCGGAAGUGCCUGGCGACAGGAGGAGAGCUGUUGGGGCGAGAGACCCCAGGAGACGCGCCCCAGCACGGACUGUUACACGGCAAACUGGGACCCUCUCGGGGAAGAGGCUUAUUACCGGAAACUAGAUGUGUACAGCAUGGGCUGGAACGUGAGUGAGGACUUGCGAGACUGCUUGGUUGCUGCUGCUCCCUAUGGGGGCCCCAUUGCUUUGCUGAAAACCAAGAAAGAAAAAUCUCCCAGUUCCCGGCCGCCUCUUGAAAUCUAUUCCGCCUCUGGGGUCCUCUUGGCUAGCAUUCCAUGGAAGAACUGCCCGGCUGUGCAUCUUGGCUGGACAACCAGCGAGGACCUCCUCUGCAUCCAAGAGGAUGGCUCAGUCCUCAUCUACAGCCUUUUCAGCAUGGGAAAUGGUUGCAAGAACACCUGCACUUGGCUGACUUUCUCUUCUCCUAAAGAUACAGGAUCAGUCUCAGGCCCUGAACCUGGCAACCCUACUUGAGAGGUGCAGUUGUGACUUCCUUCCUGGUCUUUGGAUGACUGUUCAAGCCCACCGCUUCAGAAAAAAACAUUGCUCAGAGUAGUUUGAGCCUUGUGAUACUUGCUUGGUUGCUUUUUCCCCCCAGCUAGCGAGACUUGACAAAAUUUCAGAUGUUUACAAAUAAAUUCCUCUAAGUCCUCAGAGGAUAAUGGCUAAAAUUCUCAAUUUCGCUUUCUCAAGUCUUAUGUUCAGUUCUCCACAUUUUCACAUCAGUUUUGUGAUUUUUUUAAAAAAAAGUCCUCCUGCAAAUUCUUCAGUAUUUUAGUGUGAAAUUCUCCUAAUACACACAUUACUGUAUGCAAUUUCCUCAGAUAUACACAUUUUGGGGAGAAAAAGCCCUCCCUCUCUAAUAUAAUGCAAUUUUGUAUGUUAUUUUUACUAAUAUAUGCAUUUUUACCCUAGUAUAUACAUUUUUGUAAAGAUUGCUUGGCUAGAAAACUCAAUUGCAAAGUUAAAGAAAUGUGAAUUUCCAAGAAUGGCUGUGUUUUGGUUUGUGUGUUAAUGCAGAAAGAGUGAAUUAGGUAGAUUCUCCUUUAAAUGGGAACGGAAUCGAAUUUCCCUGCUUUGAGUCAGUUUGAGGGCCUGCUAAUAAAACAGGGCACAGUUUUGUUAGUUGUUCAUCACUUCCUUAUCUGCUGUGGUGCAGUUUAGAAUAUCAACUGUUUUUGAAUGUGAAUGUGAACCACCUUGAGCAUUCCAUAAAGAAACUUUCCUAUCCACUUGAUGUGCUGUGGAAUUCUCAAGGACUGACAUCAUUCCCAGAAUGAUUUUUUUUAAAGGUCUGUUUCUCUGACCAUCUACCUCUGUGCAAGGCAAGGAUGCUGGAACCAGGUCGAGGGAUAUCAUUUUAGCAAACAGCAGAGGAAAUGGAAGAAUACAAAAGAGUUUUUUUCAGUAAUGGUGGCAGAGAUGGGAUCUGCUGGCUCGUGCCGUAUCGAAAGCAGUAUCAAUGUCACAUGUAUCAAUUGGAGUUCAUUCUUUGUCCACUAUCCACUGCUUUGACUGAUCCAUUUUUUCCCUUGAAAAUAGGUUAAUAUUAAUAUCAAUAUUUUGGAAAGGAACUAAUAUUUUUAAAGGAAAUAUCUGUGUUUUUAAAGGAAAAAGAAAUAAAUGGAAAGGAAAGGAAGAAAGCAGCUUUCAGUGCCCCCCCCCCAUCCCCAACCUUCUCCUAGGCAAGCUUAGAAUCCUUAAUGCGGGAGAGCUCUCAAGGGCUAGGUUUGCCUUUUAAUCUCUAUUAUAGGCUUGGCUUGCUUACUCCCACUUGGAUCUUGGGUUAAGGAGGGGGGGAUGCAUGUGUGUGUGUGUGAGAGAGAGAGAGGGAGACAGAGGGAGAGAUGUGCUGUGAGUAAAAUCAAUAAAAGAACAAUAUAUUUGAGGGAAUAUUCAAGGAAGGAAAAUCCAGUGAUGGGGAAAGCCGCUGACAUUUGGAGCAAACAGGAUCGCUCCGCAAAGAUGGAGAAUAUGCAGACCAUUGGAAAAUCUGGUGCUAAAACCAAAUCCAACAAAGUUCUUACCUAUUCCUAGGUGGAGUCAGAUACUCAGCAAGCUUUGAAGGCCCAUUCUUAGAUACAUUUAAAGUUAAAUUGCCUAUCCAAAGCGUAUUUUAAGAGCAUAUGUUUGAUUCCUUUUAAAAAACAUGUCAUAAAAAUGAUUGCAACAAUAUGUUGUUAUGUGCCUUCGGGAGCCAGUGUGGUGUGGUGGUUAAGGUGUUGGACUAAGACCUGGGAGACCAGGGUUUGAAUCCCCACACAGCCAUGAAGCUCACUGGGUGACUUUGGGCCAGUCACUGCCUCUCAGCCUCAGAGGGAGGCAAUGGGAAACCCCCUCUGAAUACCGCUUAUCAUGAAAACCCUAUUCAUAGGGUUGCCAUAAGUCAGCAGCCUUCCGUGUUCCUAUGUUCCAACUGCCCCUUUUUACCAGUUGUUGUUGUUAUGUGUCUUCAAGUCGAUUACGAUUUAUGGUGACCCUAUGAAUCAGCAACCUCCAAUAGCAUCUGUUGUAAACCACCCUUUUCAGAUCUUGUAAGUUCAGGUCUGUGGCUUCCUUUAUGGAAUCAAUCCAUUGCGUGUUUGGUCUUCCUCUUUUUCUACUCCCUUCUGUUUUCCCCAGCAUUAUU